GCUCUGGCUGUGAUCCUGUUUCUCUGUGUAUCCCUGGUUCUUUUGUGUCUCCUCCCCCUCUGUCUGUGUGUGUGUGUGUGUGUGUGUGUGUGUGUGUGUGUGUGUGUGUGUGUGUGUGUGUGUGUGUGUGUGUGUGUGUGUGUGUGUGUGUGUGUGUGUGUGUCUGUGUGUGUGUGUCUCUGGAGGGUGUGGCUUCAAUCAAACACCUGGUGACUACUCACACCUGCAACUCAUCUUCUCAUCUGCCUCAGGCCAAGACCCUGGUUUCAACUCGGCUCAUGGCCAGAUUAUUGAGUCUACUGAAGCGAUUUUCACCGGUGUCAUCUCCUCCAGCCUGCUUCAUCGUCAGACAACUCAACCAAUUACCUGCCUGCCUACGGAACCAGAUAAACUCCAUAAGUCUCCUCCAUGCAGUCACUACCAGCCAGCCAUCCACCUAUACCAAGCCCUGUAAUAAAACCUCAAACCCUUCAAUUUCGCUGCUGUGUCUGCUUUUGGGUCUAAAUACAAACCAUAACAGGAGCCCCAACAUUGUUCAACAUGAAGCUGUAUGUUUUGUUGUAAUUUUAGGAAAGAUUGGGUUUUAAAGUAAAAGGUGGCCGGCAGUGGAGACGUGAUUCACUUGCAAGGGUGGGUUGAGAGGUUUGGAUUUUUAAAAUACGUUUCUAACAUGAAAACCUGUCAUCAUCACGGGGAUCAGUUACAACCAGCAUUCAUUUCAGAGGACAAGGCUCACUGCUCUUUAAAAGGACAGAACGUUUUUCAGACGGUAUGUCAAGAUUGAUGAGUUUUGACACUCAGAGAUAUAUUUUGGGUGGAGUAUGCCUUUAAACAAAUGGUGUUUAUUUUCUGUAACCAAGACAUGUUCUUUUAUUGUGGACAAGUAUUCUUCCCAAAAUAAAAGCAUGGCCAGGAUGAUGGGUGCCAGGAGACUGCGUUCUUCGGCCCUCCUGUGUGGAAAAUCAUCGUCUAAAAAUACUGUGUUCCCUCCAUGAAGACUUGUUUUCUUUAGAGUGCUCUGUCUCUCUCCCACUGUCUCCUAAAAACUGCACAAAGGCCUUUAAGAGACACUGCCUUUCUAUUUCUAUAUGCCCUGAUCUCUCCUGCUAUUUCACGAUUUCACAACAGGAUGCUGUGUAAUUUUAGAUGAUGCUAUACAAGUGUGGGUUUCUAAAAUGU